CAAAUACGCGCAGCUCAGAAAUAUUGGUCAAAAUAUUUAGAGCGAAGUUGUCAAUCCGAAUAAUCACCGUCCAAAAAUUUGUAAUAGUUUCCAUAUUCUCUCUUUUAAUUCUUAAGGCAACAUCAAUGAAUUAUUAAAAACUUACUGUUUUUUUUUUUUUUUUUUUCUCUUUCUCUCUCUAUAGACCUGUAAUCUUCACCAAUCACUCUCGUUUUUAAUCUCUUCCUCUCUUUCUUUUAUCAAAGUUCUUAACUUUAAUCUGCCAUCGUUUCUGGAUUCUGUUUAUUUCUAAGUUUGGAGCUAAACCAAAACAGGAAAACUUGUUCUGUUUUUUUUGGUCAACUAAACAAAAAGAUAAGAGUCUUUAACAGAACAGAGAAAAAUGACUGUAGAGCAAGGAGCUGGAGAAGCUAAAGACCAAUUUCCAAUUGGCAUGCGGGUUUUGGCUGUUGAUGAUGACCCGACUUGUCUCUUGGUGCUUGAGACCUUUCUUCGUAGAUGCCAAUAUCAUGUUACCACGACAAGUCAGGCAAUAUCAGCAUUGAAGAUGUUGAGAGAAAACAAGAACAAGUUUGACCUGGUUAUCAGUGAUGUUCAUAUGCCAGAUAUGGAUGGUUUUAAAUUGCUGGAGCUCGUGGGGCUUGAGAUGGACCUACCUGUCAUAAUGUUGUCGGCAUAUAGUGACCCAAAGCUUGUAAUGAAGGGAAUUACUCAUGGAGCUUGUGAUUAUUUGCUGAAGCCUGUUCGAAUCGAGGAGUUAAAGAACAUCUGGCAACACGUAAUCAGGAGAAAAAAAGUUGAUAACAAGGACCAGAAUAACUUUGAUAACCAAGACAAGCUUCCUCGGGGGAGUGGUGAAGCUACAGCUGAUCAAAAGCUUAAUAAAAAAAGGAAGGACCAGAAUGAAGAUGAGGAUGAGGAUCGCGAUGAGCAUGGACAUGAAAAUGAGGAUCCCACAACUCAGAAGAAACCUCGAGUUGUUUGGUCAGUGGAGCUGCAUCGCAAGUUUGUUGCAGCAGUUAAUCAAUUAGGCGUUGACACUGUGCCUAAAAAGAUUCUCGAUUUGAUGAAUGUUGAAAAGCUUACCAGAGAAAAUGUUGCGAGCCAUCUCCAGAAAUACAGGCUUUACCUUAAAAGGAUCAGCACUGUGGCAAAUCAGCAGGCUAAUAUGGUGGCAGCUUUAGGCAGUUCAGAUGCUUCGUAUUUACAAAUGGGUUCUGGACUUGGAUUCCAAGGUAUAGCUGGAGCUGGGCAGUUUCAUAAUGCAACUUUCAGACCUCUUCCUCCAAGUGGGAUGCUUGGUAGACUGAAUUCUCCUGCUGGUCUUGGUAUGCGUGGUCUUCCAUCUCCUGGUGUGAUUCAAUUGGGUCAGUUACAAGGCACAGGUCACUCGAGCAACAACCAAAGCCACUUCCAGAUGGCUGUACAUCCUGGAAAUGCUGGAAAUGUACUUCAAGGGAUGCCAACUUCAUUAGAACUUGAUCAAAUACAAUCCAACAAAGGUGUUACCUAUAUCAGAGAACUUCCUACAGAUAUUAAUGAUGCAACUGCUUUCUCUGUUUCCGGUGGCUUCUCGGAUACAAAGAUAAUGGUUGGAAGCUCAAACAGUUCUUUCCUUGGUGCUUCAAACAAACCUCUGAUGUUAGAAGGGAACACUCAAGGAGCUCAAGAUGGUAAAGAAUUCGGAAAACAUUCUUCUCUUACUGUGGCCUCGUUAGACUCAGGAUUUUCUUCUCAUCUUCCAGAUCCCGGUAGAUGUAAUGACAACUGGUCAAGUGCUGUUCAGUCGAAUGGGGUCCAAUCAACUUCUUUUGCCUUAAAUGAUUGCUUUAGGCAAACUACUCUACAUCCUAAUAACAGCAGAGAUAGCAUGUCAACAAUGGGUUUGCAAAAUGGGAAUAAUGCUCCUGAUAUCUCUUCUAUUUCUACACUGCCAAUUCAUCUGCAGGAGUCUAAGGCAGAUCUACAGUGCCAAAUAACUUCAAUUAGAAGUAAUGCUGGACAAAUAAUUAAUAAUGCCCCGCAAGGGUGGGAUGACCAAAGGCAAGAUUCUAUGUACCACUCAAAUGCUGUACAUAGCUCAGUAAACACUGCAAAUCCUAUUCCUGGCACUGGCACUCUAAUGGGCCAUAGUUUAGACCCAAAGAACACAAUUUUUCACAGAACCACAAGCUUCAAUUCAACGAGACAAACAAAUUUUAUUGAUAUGCCAUUGAUGAAGCAUAAUGACGUUGAAAAUUUGUCCAUGGAGAUACUAAUGAGAUCAAAUGAAGGGUAUGUUAUGGCCCAACAGAAGCUACAGAGCAGUUAUGUUUCUGAUAACUUUGGCUCCUUGGAAGAUUUGGCAAAUGUAAUGGUGAAACAGGGUAGGAGUGAGUUUUGGAUGUGUUUAGGGGGAGAUUGUCAAUCCAGGGAUUUUGACCAUGCUGUCUGCCUGGUGUUCUUGAGUUCUCUACAAGCAGUGGCGGAGCUACGAUGUAGUUGCCCCCCUUAUUUUUCUGAAGGAAAAGAAAUUACCUCUAUAAGUAACAUAUAAAUCUGACUUUGUCCCUUGUAGAAUUACUAUUGUCCCCUUACAGUUGACCCCUUAUUUUUUUCCAAUAAGGAUGUUUGUUAUUAUGCCUCCCUUGAUUUCAGAUCCUGGCUUUGCCCCUAUCUGCAGCCAGCCGAAAUAUAACUAUCAUGGUAUCGUUGUCAUGGUGUUAUUUCAAAGUAUUUUGUGUAGAGAGGGGUCUUGCCAGUUAUACAGCUGUCACAACUAAAGCCUACUCAAAAUAGAUUUCUAGCUGCCAGCAGCAUCAUGAACUGGCAAUCAAUUUUGAGGGAGCAAGAAGAAUUGAAUUGCGUGCGGGGGGUUUUGCUCCAAUUAAGCGAAGCUGCCUUCUGCUUCAGAGGAUUGUUAAAUUUUGUCAAUUGAGUUGCUAACAUCUUUUUGGAACUGUACUACUAAAUUGAACAGGACGGAGAGAAGGAAUCCUGGUACAGAUAGUCGCUAAAAGAUCCACUGUUUCCCAGCAUUAAAUUUUGCUAACAUGCUACCUUUUGUGUAUGCGGAAAAUGUUACCCAAAGUUUCUCUAUUCCAAACAAGGGAAGCUGUUUUCACCUCAUCAAGAAACUCCUGUACAUGACUUUCACCCCAUACUAAAGAAAGAAAAAACGAUGAUGAGCAAGAUAAGGCGGGAUUAACAGAAGGAGAAUUCCAGUGCGGUGCUUAUUCUCUUAGGACAUGCAUGUAAAGGAGAUUUUAGCUGCUAAGAGAGAAUGAUCUGCAGUAGGAGCAUGUUUUUCACCCUCAUGUAAUUGAUACCUCAGUAGUCAUCUUCGAUCAUUAUCCCACUUCUUUUUCUCUAGAAAACUGUAUGUUCCUAGAAGUUGUUUCUAUUUUUAGCAGAGCAAAUUCUUGUAGUUAAUUUAGCAGUAAGUACAAUCUGUUAAAAACUUUCCAGGAACACCUUUAGUUUGUAGAAAAUGCAUACUCUUGAUCAUGGGCCCAUGAGCACAUUAUGAGGAUUUUGCUGCUUGUUACAUGCUUUA